UACGAAGGGGGCUAGCGUUGUUCGGAGUUACUGGGCGUAAAGAGCGUGUAGGCGGCCUUUUAAGUCCUGCGUGAAAUCCUGCGGCUCAACCGCAGACGGUCGUGGGAAACUGGAAGGCUAGAGUGCGGGAGAGGAGAGUGGAAUUCCCGGUGUAGCGGUGAAAUGCGCAGAUAUCGGGAAGAACACCCGUGGCGAAGGCGGCUCUCUGGAACGCAACUGACGCUGAGACGCGAAAGCGUGGGGAGCAAACAGG
rnacentral:rRNA from 1 species